AGCGAACGCUGGCGGCAGGCUUAACACAUGCAAGUCGAGCGGACAUGCUCGGCGUGUCAGCGGCGGACGGGUGGGUAACGGGUGGGAACCUGCCCAUUGACCUGGACUAGCUCAGGGAAACUCUUGCUAAUACCGGGUAUAUUCCAGAGCAGGAGCGGUUGUCUGCGGGAGGGUCGGGGAGCGUCUGGUUGGCUGGGUGUUGAGGUUACGCCUCACCACGGGUUGGUUGAGUAGCUGGGUUGAGAGGAUGUUCCGCCACACUGGCACUGAGACACGGCCCAGAAUCCUAGGCGAGGCAGGAGUGGGGAAUAUUGGACAAUGGGGGCAACCCUGAUCCAGCCAUGCCGGGUGAGUGAUGACGGCCGUAGGGUUGUACAGUUCUUUUCUACGGGGCGAUAAUGACGGUACCGGAUGAAUAAGCACCGGCUAACUUCGUG
rnacentral:rRNA from 1 species